rnacentral:rRNA from 1 species
CCAGCAGCUGCGGUAAUUCCAGCUCUUCUAGUGUACAUCGAAGUUGAUGCAGUUAAAAAGCUCGUAGUCGGACUUGUUGAGUUUGGGGUAGAACUUGUUAGUGCUCGAAAGGGUAUCUAGCAGACCCAGCUCAUUCAUUUCUAAAUGGAUGUUUGCAGCAAUGUAGACCUCUCCUUUAGAUCUUUUACUUUGAGGAAAUUAGAGUGUUCAUAACAGUCAUUUUUGAUUGAAUAUUUUAGCAUGGGAUAAUAAAAUAUGGCAUUUUGCUUGUAUUUUAUGGUUUUUUAGAAGCAUUUAUUUGCAAUGAUUAAUGGGAGUGUAUGGGGCUGCCUGUAUUGAGAAGCUAGAGG